rnacentral:rRNA from 1 species
GAUGAACGCUGGCGGCGUGCCUAAUACAGGCAAGUCGAGCGAACAGACGAGGAGCUUGCUCCUCUGACGUUAGCGGCGGACGGGUGAGUAACACGUGGAUAACCUACCUAUAAGACUGGGAUAACUUCGGGAAACCGGAGCUAAUACCGGAUAAUAUAUUGAACCGCAUGGUUCAAUAGUGAAAGACGGUUUUGCUUUCACUUAUAGAGGGAUCCGCGCCGCAUUAGCUAGUUGGUAAGGUAACGGCUUACCAAGGCAACGAUCCGUAGCCGACCUGAGAGGGUGAUCGGCCGCACUGGAACUGAGACGCGGUCAAGACUCCUACGGGAGGCAGCAGUAGGGAAUCUUCCGCAAUGGGCGAAAGCCUGACGGAGCAACGCCGCGUGAGUGAUGAAGGUCUUCGGAUCGUAAAACUCUGUUAUUAGGGAAGAACAAAUGUGUAAGUAACUAUGCACGUCUUGACGGUACCUAAUCAGAAAGCCACGGCUAACUACGUG